GAGGAGGAGAUGAGACAGAGGAGAGGAAGAAACUCAGUGGAGCCAGAAAGAUGGAGAAAAGUGAUUGAAGCGAUGAGGAGGAGAGAAGAGAGAUUAGAGGAAGAGAGAAACUCAGGAUGCAGCAUACUGACAUGUUCAUUCCUCUAUGGCCACAGUUCACCAUCUUCUAAUGGCUCCUUCCAGCAGGAUAAUGCUUCAUGUCACAAAGAAAAGGUCGAAAGUUGUGAAAAAAAAGUUGUGAUGCAAUCAUGUCAACCUGGACCAGAGUCUCAAAGGAAAGUUUCCAACAUGUUGUGGAAUCAAUGCCACGAAGAACUGAGGCUGGUCUGAGAGCAGAGGAGGAACUACCCGAUGUCAGUACAGCGCUAAGCUGCUGCAUGAGAAGCUUAUUCACAGUAAAACGCUCCAUUGUCAAACACGAUCGAAGGCCGCCAGGUGAAGCGGAUCAUCUGUGUGUCAACAUUCAACAAAUCACACUGCAGUGGGACUUUAUGUGACCUGGAUCCUGACCGCUUCACCUCCAUGAUGGAAAAGAGACUUCAGCAUCAAUCAGUAGCAGGACGGGGUGGUGGUCUGGGUGCUGUAGCCGCUGGAGCAGUGCAGAGAGUCCCUACUGCUUCUCGGAGCGUCCGAGGUCAACGCACCCAAAGUCAACGCCAGCUGAUCCCGG